AUGGGUGCCUCCAUCUUUGCCUCUUCUUCCACAACUGCUUCGCCUAUCGCGAGGGGCAACCUAUGGGGCCCCGUCGCGACCGUGGCCUUCGGGUACGUCCUCGAGGUGGCCUGCGUGGGCGCCAUCGUCUUGCUGGCGCUGGCCACGGUCUACCUCCUGGAGCGCUCCCUGCUGCUUCUCUUCCUCGACGUGCUUCUCGUGCCCCUCACGUCGCUCUUCCUGGUCUACCUCACCGUGGUCUGCGCGGUGGCGGUCGUGGUCUUGGUGGCGAAGCCGGGGCGGCACGGCGCGGCGGCGGUGUCCCGCGCGUGGCGGCUGAUGGAGAGGAGGAGCGCGCGGGCGGCGCUCUACGUGGUCGCGAUGUGCGCGCUCGGCGCCGCGGUGUCGCCGGUGUAUACGCUGGCGCUGAGGUGGAGGCCGCGGAGCCCGUGCGCCGGGGUGGCCGCCGGGGCCGCCUAUGUGGCCCUGCUCGGCGCGUGGAGGUGUUCUCCGUCGCGGCCGUCACGGCGGCAUUUGAGGAUACCACUUUUGUGGUUCAUUGCAUUAUUCUUGAAGUUGGGUUGCGACGGUUCUAUACUCCUCGACGACACGGCCAACUUCACCGGCGAGAAGAGCGCAGAGCCGAACGCGAAGUCGAUGCGCGGCUACGAGAUCAUAGACGGCAUCGAGACUCGGGUCGAGGCCUCCUGCAACGCCACCGUCUCAUGCGAAGACAUCCUGGCCCUCACCGCCCGUGACGUCGGCUGCGACGGUUCCAUACUCCUCGGCGACACGGACAACUUCAUCGGCGAGAAGAACGCAGCGCCGAACACGAAGUCGGUGUGCGGCUACGAGAUCAUAGACGGCAUCGAGACUCGGGUCGAGGCCUCCUGCGAUGCCACCGUCUCAUGCGAAGACGUCCUGGCCCUCGCCGCACAUGACUCCGGCUGCGACGGUUCAGUACUCCUCGACGACACUGCCAACUUCACCGGCGAGAAGAACGCAGCGCCGAACGCGAAGUCGGUGCGCGGCUACGAGAUCAUAGACGGCAUCGAGACUCGGGUCGAGGCCUCCUGCAACGCCACCGUCUCAUGCGAAGACGUCCUGGCCCUCGCCGCAUGUGAUGUCGGCUGCGACGGUUCCAUACUCCUCGACGACACGGCCAACUUCACCGGCGAGAAGAACGCAGCGCCGAACGCGAAGUCGGUGCGUGGCUACGAGAUCAUAGACGGCAUCGAGACUCGCAUCGAGGCCUCCUGCAACGCCACCAUCUCAUGCGAAGACGUCCUGGCCCUCGCCGCUCGUGACUCCGUCAGCCUGAUACGCCGGCAUCAAGGCUCAACUAUGUUUUUCUUGUAUACAGCUACGCCAUGCUCUCUGGACUUCGACUAA
rnacentral:rRNA from 1 species